GAGAGAGAGAGAGAGAGAGAGAGAGAGAGAGAGAGUUCUAGGAAAGUUGAUAAGGGCUUUUUGAUGCUGCUGCUGCGAUAGGUGAAAUAGUUAUAGUGGCUUUCUUGAUACCGAAACAUCCAUUCUUCUAGCAGGAAGAUGAUGACAGUAGUUAAAACAUCACAAUCAACAUUGUUUGUAAUAAUUGGUCUCAUUGAUAGCUUGCCUGAAGGAGAGGACCACACAGCAGCCAGGGCCCCCACCACUACUGUUUAAAAGGGUCUGUAAUUCUGAAUGCAUGAAUAGAAAACUGAACUUGGACUCCAGAUAGAACCCAUGUUCAAAGGACUAGGGGUUUGUUUAUUUUGGAUUUCCUGUUCAUCUACUACGUUAUAAAAUAAAAAAUUUGGAGGACAGAUUCUAGUUUUGGUGAAAUUUGGAACAUUCAUGCUCGGUACCUCUAAAAUGC
rnacentral:lncRNA from 1 species